GCACUGUUAGAUGUCGCUGUAGAUUUAGCAGUACAUUACUGUAAAAAUCCACAGUACUAUACUGUAUGUAUACAUUACAGUACAGUACUGCAGUUCAUAAUGCAUUCUGGGUAAAUUUGUUUGAGCGGGAAAAUUUUACAGUAUAUUUUGGUCUUGAUGUAACCUUGCUGUAGCCAUUGCUGUAAUGUGCCAGGUGUACUUGCAAUAAUCAGAGAAAGUGCGCCAACGUCAAAUCACACAGAGGGAGAGAGAGCACAACUCCAGGCUGCAGCUGAAGGAGGAUGAUUGAUUUCUGGCAGUUCGUCUUACCAUUGCUUGUAAGCUGGAUUGGGUAAGAUGGAUCAUCUUUAAAGGCACCAGGAGUUAAGGCAGAUGUGGAGGCACAACGGGUGAUACCAGACACACACCAAGCACAUUAUGUUCGGACAUUCAAUCAUGACAGGAUCCAGGUGGAUGCUGUCCAUUGAUGAAAGAGUUUGUUCAGCGGUUUCUGGAUAGAAUUAAUUCCAAAGAUGGGAAAAAGUGCACAUCCAGAUAAGGAGCAAGCAAAAAGACAAGGAACUUGGUGCAGAGAAAAGCUGUGGCCAUUAACCCCCAUGUGAACAGCUUCAUGCAGUCCCUGAUUGAGUUCGAAUGGACGACUUCAAAGUAAAGGCCACUGUGGUCUGUCUGCCACAGUUUAAUGCAUUUAUUUUUAGUGUUAAAUGAAAUUUAAGUAGAAUAUUUAAAACUAUGGGCCAGUGUUCUUUUUACCACAGUGAAAUGUUACCUUUUAGUCGAUGAUGGACUUUAAACUGAAAACUUCAAACUAUGGAACAGUGUUCUAUUUGCCAGAGUUAAAUAUGUUACAGCAGGGGUCUCCAAACUUGUUUAUACUUGUUGAUUUUAUUUUGUUACUUGAUUAUAUGUUUAUUAUUGUUUAAAAUCUUGUUUUAAAUAUGUUUGUUUCAAUUAAAUGUUUUUUUAAAUAAAAUUUUGAUACAUACAUUGCUUGGAUUGCCUUUUAAUUCAUUAUGUUUUAAU